CCGGAACACAGGUGCUGCAUGGCUGUCGUCAGCUCGUGUCGUGAGAUGUUGGGUUAAGUCCCGCAACGAGCGCAACCCUUGUCAUUAGUUGCUACGAAAGGGCACUCUAAUGAGACUGCCGGUGACAAACCGGAGGAAGGUGGGGAUGACGUCAAGUCCUCAUGGCCCUUAUGGGUAGGGCUUCACACGUCAUACAAUGGUCGGGACAGAGGGUCGCCAACCCGCAAGGGGGAGCCAAUCCCAGAAACCCGAUCGUAGUCCGGAUUGCAGGCUGCAACUCGCCUGCAUGAAGUCGGAAUCGCUAGUAAUCGCGGAUCAGAAUGUCGCGGUGAAUACGUUCCCGGGUCUUGUACACACCGCCCGUCACACCAUGGGAGUGGGUUUUACCAGAAGUAGUUAGCCUAACCGCAAGGAGGGCGAUUACCACGGUAGGAUUCAUGACUGGGGUGAAGUCGUAACAAGGUAGCCGUAUCGGAAGGUGCGGCUGGAUCACCUCCUUUC
rnacentral:rRNA from 1 species